rnacentral:rRNA from 1 species
CCUACGGGGGGCAGCAGUGAGGAAUAUUGGUCAAUGGGCGGAAGCCUGAACCAGCCAAGUCGCGUGAGGGAAUAAGGCCCUACGGGUCGUAAACCUCUUUUGCCGGGGAGCAAGGGCGGGGACGUGUCCCGGCCCGGAGAGUACCCGGAGAAAAAGCAUCGGCUAACUCCGUGCCAGCAGCCGCGGUAAUACGGAGGAUGCGAGCGUUAUCCGGAUUUAUUGGGUUUAAAGGGUGCGUAGGCGGGCUUUUAGGUAAGCGGUAAAAAUUCGGGGCUCCAACCCGUCCGGCCGGUGAAACUGGGGGCCUUGAGUGGGCCAGAAGAAGGCCGAAUGCCUUGGGG